UCUCUGAAGGUGAUUUCCUCCUGCUGGGUUGGGCCAAGCCUAAUGUCAUCAGUUUUAAGCAUCAAUAUGUAGCAGACCCUCUGGUCAUGAUGAAGCUGCACUCCAAAGGAAGACUCUUAUAUAUGGUCAUCAAGAGAUCCAUUUGAAUAUAUCAGAAGAGCAACUGGUGACCCUACAUGGGCCUGCAGCCCAGUGCUCUGCUCCCAAGAAGCUCUCGGUUCACCAAUGGCAGCUGUGCCUGGAUUUGUCAGGGCAGAAGGCUCUCUGACAGCUUGGGAACUGGCAGCCCACCACAGUGUCCCACCUGGGCUGUGCUUUCUCACCUGGAACGCCUUCCCCCGUGUGGGAUGCUCUGGCCCAG